GGGGGUUUAGCUCAGUUGGUAGAGCAUACGCUUAGCAUGUGUAAGGUCGUGAGUUCAAUCCUUACAGCCUCCA
rnacentral:tRNA from 1 species